AGAGUUUGAUCCUGGCUCAGAACGAACGCUGGCGGCAUGCCUAACACAUGCAAGUCGAACGAGACCUUCGGGUCUAGUGGCGCACGGGUGCGUAACGCGUGGGAAUCUGCCCUUGGGUCCGGAAUAACAGUUAGAAAUGACUGCUAAUACCGGAUGAUGACUUCGGUCCAAAGAUUUAUCGCCCAGGGAUGAGCCCGCGUCGGAUUAGCUAGUUGGUGGGGUAAAAGCUCACCAAGGCGACGAUCCGUAGCUGGUCUGAGAGGAUGAUCAGCCACACUGGGACUGAGACACGGCCCAGACUCCUACGGGAGGCAGCAGUGGGGAAUAUUGGACAAUGGGCGAAAGCCUGAUCCAGCAAUGCCGCGUGAGUGAUGAAGGCCUUAGGGUUGUAAAGCUCUUUUACCCGGGAUGAUAAUGACAGUACCGGGAGAAUAAGCCCCGGCUAACUCCGUGCCAGCAGCCGCGGUAAU
rnacentral:rRNA from 1 species